UUUAGCCUUGUGCUGCUGAUGCUGCUUAAGAGGCUGAAUGCCUCUUCUAGAUCUGGAGGAUCCUGCAAAAUCCUCGCCCCUGCUUUCGGCAAAUCCUUGCGAACAGAGAGCUCUGAUUCCCCGAGAAUUCGGUGCAAACAGGGAACUCCGGUUACACAACCCCGCGGCCGCGGUGACUCAGCUGAGCUGGCUCACGAGGAGCCCUGUGACCGCCGGGAGGUGACUCGGGAACAGAUGACAUCAGCAAAAAGCUUCUUCCCACCAUCGCUGGGAUCAAUCGAGCCCAGAGCUGGGCAAGCAGCGAGACUUCCAGGGAGGUGGAGAGCACCUCCAUCCACAAACCUCAUUUCUUGGUCUAAGGCUGACAAGAGAGUCACUGCUGCAGAUCAUCCAUGAGAAACCCACUCAUCUCUGUCCCAUGCCCAAGUUACAGAAGGUCUCUGCACAUAUUUUGGGAUCCACGUUUACCUCAGGAUUGUCCAGCUGGUGACUGACCAUGGUUGGUGGGAUGACUUCCCAUCUCUGAAGGCAUUUUUGCAGUAUUUCACCACGUGACUCUGUCCUCCAGGAACCCCCGUGAGAAUUUUGUCCUUACCCGGAGCGCCCAGGAGGAGGAGAAUGACAACGACUGCAAAGAGCAGCUGGAG